AUGUAAAAAUGGUGAAAUGAGUUUGAAAGGAAAGCUAUUUGUAGUAAAGAUCACUAUUUGUUUCCUUUCUCUUCCUCUGUUUUCCUACUGCACCUCCUUUAGUACACUUCCUGGUUUCUCACUCUCUCCUCUCUUGAUUGGUUGUUGUUUGCACUCUGUCACUAAUUAAUUAGAUUGAAUUCACCUGCCUACUCCUUAUUUAAGACUGAACUCACUUACACUCAUGUUUUUAUCCUCACAUGGGGCGGCAGUUCAUUAAUGGUGAAAUGCAUUGAUUUUACACUUUACAACUAACCACCAGAGGGCGCCAUUUCUACAUAAAGUGAUAUAUAAACGGAGGAUCCCUCGUCGGUGGCCGUCUUCCUGCUCAGGUAGGAGACUCAAAGCUUUCUUAAUGUUGUUUUAUUAUGUUCCAGGUUUGAGGUCUUAUAGAUGUUUAGACUCAGUUAUUUUAAUCAUUUGACUUAAUACUUUUUGAUCAGCUAAAAGUUUAUUAUCAGCAUUAUCAGUUUUUUGUAUAUUUAUAAGACUUGUACCUGGAACAUAAUAAAACAACAUUAAGAAAGAUUUGGGCUCCUACC